rnacentral:tRNA from 1 species
GGGGAUGUGGCUCAAGUGGUAGAGCUCUUGCCUAGCAUGCAGGAGGCACUGGGUUCAAUUCUCAACACCA